CCUACGGGAGGCAGCAGUCGAGAAUCAUUCACAAUGGGGGAAACCCUGAUGGUGCGACGCCGCGUGGGGGAAUGAAGGUCUUCGGAUUGUAAACCCCUGUCAUGUGGGAGCAAAUUAAAAAGAUAGUACCACAAGAGGAAGAGACGGCUAACUCUGUGCCAGCAGCCGCGGUAAUACAGAGGUCUCAAGCGUUGUUCGGAAUCACUGGGCGUAAGGCGUGCGUAGGCUGUUUCGUAAGUCGUGUGUGAAAGGCGCGGGCUCAACCCGCGGACGGCACAUGAUCCUGCGAGACUAGAGUAAUGGAGGGGGAACCGGAAUUCGCGGUGUAGCAGUGAAAUGCGUAGAUAUCGAGAGGAACACUCGUGGCGAAGGCGGGUUCCUGGACAUUAACUGACGCUGAGGCACGAAGGCCAGGGGAGCGAAAGGGAUUAGAUACCCGAGUAGUC
rnacentral:rRNA from 1 species